GAUGAAGAACGUAGCGAAAUGCGAUAAGUAAUGUGAAUUGCAGAAUUCAGUGAAUCAUCGAAUCUUUGAACGCACAUUGCGCCCGCCAGUAUUCUGGCGGGCAUGCCUGUUCGAGCGUCAUUUCAACCCUCAGGCCCCCAGUGCCUGGUGUUGGGGAUCGACCCAGCCUUCCUGUAAGGCCGCCGGCCCCGAAAUCUAGUGGCGGUCUCGCUGUAGUCCUCCUCUGCGUAGUAGCACAACCUCGCAGUUGGAACGCGGCGGUGGCCAUGCCGUUAAACACCCCACUUCUGAAAGUUGACCUCGGAUCAGGUAGGAAUACCCGCUGAACUUAAGCAUAUCAAUAAGCGGAGGA
rnacentral:misc_RNA from 1 species